GUUGUUAAUGGACUUUAUUCCCUCUCCGUACACUUGACUGUCAGUGAGAGGCACCGAAGGACUGUACGCCAAGGACACAGCACGGUCUUACAAGUCAUUAGAUGGACGGCUGCACAGAGGGGCGAGACGGGAGGCAGGGAGGCCCAUCAGCAGGCAGUGUCACAGCCUAGGCGAGAAAUGCCGAGGCUGAGCCCAGGCAGUGGCAGGCAGAAGGGGGCCGCUGGCCGGUAACACAGAAGACACACUGAGCGCAGCGUCAGAGUCAGCGGCUGCGGAGGGUGAGGAGCUGUUAAGGAUGAUUCCAAAUAAGGGAAAAAUCUGCUUAUGAUUACGGGUUACAGAGCUCAUGGUAAAAAUAAACUGCGGAUUAGGAUGUUACACAACGAUCACAGAGCGAAGUCACUGAGGAGGAUCUGCACGCCGAAAUAACGACUGCUUGGUUGAGGGCAGUCUCCCCAUUUCCCCUCCAGAAGUUGCUGGCUUGGCUCGUGAGAAAGACAAAGCUCUCGCAAACCUUUUCACGGAGAAGAUACCAGCUAUCAAGCGCUUUCCAAGAGACAGUGUGUUCUGCGAGAACAGAUAACGAUUCACACACAGCUACGAGCGCCUGUGGUUUGCAGGCCGGUCUCUGACUGCGGGCUCAGGGAGAACACAGGCCUGCCUGUCUGUUUUUCAGGUGAGAAGCGGCGCAGUGUUUCUGUCAGCUGCUUUGUGUCCUUGAGAAACUGCUGACCUUACCCUCACAUCUAACGAGCCCGGCGACAGACGACGUUCUGCAUCCUGAUCAAGCACUGAAUCUGCAAACCACAGUGCACUGAAGGUCUCACGCGCUGCGAGGAAGCCCACGGCAGAGAACACUCACGUCAGCCUGGAGAUUAGAUCUUUCCUCCAGCGGUCGCCCGCCCGGCAGUUUCUCUGAAUUCUUAAGAAGCCUCCACGAAAACACCCAGCAACGGGCCGGCAGGAAGUGCAGUGCCAACAGGGGGCGGGGAGGGGGGCGUGAAGAACCUGUCGCUCUGUGGAGCUGAGACAGACGCUCAGCAGGGCACCCGUGGGUGAGGCCCAGUCAGGCACCCACAAGCGCUGCAGCGGCAGGCGGGCGAGCAGAGGGGCUCCCUGAGGAGCUGCUCGCGGGCCAGCACGGCACGGGCACACAGACCAAGGGGAAAGGAUCAACCGCGUGCCAUCCGCGGAGCACAGACCGGACUCUGAAACUCGCUCACUGUUUGGAAUUCAGAACGCAUAGUUUUCACAUUAUGAAUGGAGGCUAGAUUCCAGACUAGUCCACAGAAGCACUUUUUAGAAAUGAAAUACUAUUCAUAACGGGGGAAGAAGUAAAAGCAGCCAAGACUUCUAUUUAAACCACUUAGGGUACAGUUAGGAAAGACUAUUUCUAAUCUAUCUCGGAUGCUGGCAUUUAAAUCUGAGACUGUCCCCUCCUUUUCCACAUGCAGGAACGUCAAGCCCCAGGCCAGCCGCGGUCCUCUCCGCGGUGCUGCCCCUGCCUGCUUUCGCUGGGCCUGCUCAGGCCACACCUCUGUGCACAGGCAGAGCCCACAAGUACCCUGUGUGCCCUCCCGGCUCUUUCCCAGAGGGACCCAACCACUCGAGCCAUCACCUGCUGGCUAAUGUACUUCCCAGGAAGUACGACUACCUGAGCCAUUACCUGCUGCCUCCUGGGUGUGCAGCAGCAGGAAGUUGGAACUGGCAGCAGAGCUGGGACUUGAACCCAGGUUCUCUAGCAUGGGAUGUGAGUGUUCCAAGCGGCAUCCUAACCACUUACCAAAUGCCCACCCCAGGAUUUUUUAAGUUAAACUGGAGAUAACUGCAGAUUCCCAUGUACUGGUAGGAAAUAAUACACAGAGAUCCUGUGUACCCUUCACCCAGCCGCCCCCAGUGCAGAACUAAGGUUCAACAUCACGACCAGAAUACUGACAUCAAGAUACCGACGGUCACCACAGCCAGAAGGAGCGCUCGUUGAGCCCCGUCCCCUGCUGUUCUCAACAGAGCCUGAAUGAAGCACGGCUCGCCCUGGUUAACAGAGCCAUUCCUGGCACUGAGGUGACACCUAGUGGGCGGAGAAGAUUUUCAGGAAAGAGAAAGAACCGGUUCCUGGAGGAGGGAAAAACCCACGGGGCCCAGGGCUCGCACAGUCCGCCGUGGGUACAGCCACGCCCCAGCUGGCACGCUGGCGGCUCAGCAGCGCCUGCCUCUUGAGAGACAGCGCCUGCCUCUUGAGAGACAGCGUCUGCAGUGGUGUGUCCACGGAGUGCACAGUCCGCCGUGGGUACAGCCACGCCCCAGCUGGCACGCUGGCGGCUCAGCAGCGCCUGCCUCUUGAGAGACAGCGCCUGCAGUGGAGCGUCCACGGAGUGCACAGUCCGCCGUGGGUACAGCCACGCCCCAGCUGGCACGCUGGCGGCUCAGCAGCGCCUGCCUCCUGAGAGACAGCGCCUGCAGUGGAGCGCCCACGGAGUGGCUCGGAGGCUGACUCACUGGGACUGUUGAAAACACACCUCUGGGGCUCAGGGCUCAGGGAGCUGGCGCAGCCUAACAUCCAAAGUCCUCACUCACCCACUCACCACGUGCUCCGUGGCACUGCCCGAGACACUCCACGGGGAGGGGUCGUCACUCUUUGGGGUGAAGCACUGAGAUCUCAGCAGCAAGCGCUUCUACCACCAACCUGCGAUUGUCUCAGCCCAGACGACACGACGAGGGUUCGGUGGGAGCCUGUCUCGCUGACUUGAUGGGAAGUUCUAAUACUCUUUUACAUUUGUCUCUCAAACUCUGCAUCCUCAAACUUAGGUCACUCUAUCAAAAUAGCAAUCUUGAUGGUUAAGAACUAAUACAAGGCCGGUGCCGCGGCUCAAUAGGCUAAUCCUCCGCCUGUGGCGCCGGCACACCGGGUUCUAGUCCCGGUCGGGGUGCCGGAUUCUGUCCCGGUUGCCCCUCUUCCAGGCCAGCUCUCUGCUGUGGCCCGGGAGUGCAGUGGAGGAUGGCCCAAGUACUUGGGCCCUGCACCCCAUGGGAGACCAGGAGAGGCACCUGGCUCCUGCCAUCGGAUCAGCACGGUGCGCCGGCCGUGGCGGCCAUUGGAGGGUGAACCAACGGCAAAAGGAAGACCUUUCUCUCUGUCUCUCUCUCACUGUCCACUCUGCCUGUCAAAAAAAAAAAAAAAAAAAAAAAAAAAAAAAAAAAAAAAAAAGGAGGAAA